rnacentral:rRNA from 1 species
GAAGUUAGCCGGGGCUUCUUCUUCAGGUACCGUCAUUAUCUUCCCUGACGAAAGAGCUUUACAACCCUAAGGCCUUCAUCACUCACGCGGCAUGGCUGGAUCAGGCUUGCGCCCAUUGUCCAAUAUUCCCCACUGCUGCCUCCCGCAGGAGUCUGGACCGUAUCUCAGUUCCAGUGUGGCCGAUCAGCCUCUCAGCUCGGCUACCCAUCGUCGACUUGGUGGGCCGUUACCCCGCCAACUAUCUAAUGGGACGCGAACCCCUCUUAUACCGGAUUGCUCCUUUGACCUCAUCCCGAUGUCGGGUCGUGGUCUUAUGCGGUAUUAGCAACCGUUUCCGGUUGUUAUCCCCCUGUACAAGGCAGGUUGUUCACGCGUUACUCACCCGUUCGCCACUAAGUUAUCAACCGAAAUCAAUAACUCCGUUCGACUUGCAUGUGUUAGGCACGCCGCCAGCGUUCGUCCUGAGCCAGAAUCAAACUCUGA